rnacentral:rRNA from 1 species
CAAUAGCGUAUAUUAAAGUUGUUGCAGUUAAAAGCUCGUAGUUGGAUUUCUGGCAGGAGCGACCGGUCGCACGCUAUGCGUGUGAACUUGUGUUGUCUCUGGCCAUCCUUGGGGAGAUCCCGUUUGGCAUUAAGUUGUCGGGCGGGGGAUACCCAUCGUUUACUGUGAAAAAUUAGAGUGCUCAAAGCAGACGAUUCGUCUGAAUAGCCGUGCAUGGAAUAAUGGAAUAGGACCUCGGUUCUAUUUUGUUGGUUUUCGGAAGUCGAGGUAAUGAUUAAGAGGGACAGACGGGGGCAUUCGUACUGGGGCCCCAGAGGUGAAAUUCUUUAACUGGCUCAUGACGAACCACUGCGAAAGCAUUUGCCAAGAAUGUUUUCAUUAAUCAAGAAC